AUUGAACGCUGGCGGCAGGCCUAACACAUGCAAGUCGAGCGAGCGGCGGAAGGGUGAGUAAUGUCUGGGAACCUGCCUGAUGGAGGGGGAUAACGACAGGAAUCGGUAGAUAAUACCGCAUAGCAUCCGAUGUGGCCAGGGGGGAUUAGCUAGUAGGUGGGGUAAUGGCCCACCUAGGCGACGAUCCCUAGCUGGUCUGAGAGGAUGACCAGCCACACUGGAACUGAGACACGGUCCAGACUCCUACGGGAGGCAGCAGUGGGGAAUAUUGCACAAUGGGCGCAAGCCUGAUGCAGCCAUGCCGCGUGUAUGAAGAAGGCCUUCGGGUUGUAAAGUACUUUCAGCGGGGAGGCGUUACCCGCAGAAGAAGCACCGGCUAACUCCGUGCCAGCCGCCGCGGUAAUUC
rnacentral:rRNA from 1 species